GCAAGUAAAGCAGGAGUCCAAGCUGGGCGUUAAUGUAAUGCAUAGAGUUACAAUUGCAAUAAUUGCCAGAUUUAAACUAUUCUUGUUACUAAAAAAGCGAAGAAAAUACAAAGUUACUGACUGCAGGAGAGUAAUGCAAGAAAAAGAAAAUCCCAUCUUAAGCAGAGUCUCAUUGGCUUGAUUGUCCACACCUGCCUCAGGUGCCUCAUCACUCUAUCAAUGUCACACUGGUGGUAGGACACAGCCAGAGUUGUUGGCCCCGUUUGAGGCUCACAAUGGGUACAUUGCCGGGACUUCUUUGUAUUUGUCUUUGGCACAUUAUUGCUGUUCAGUCUUUUUGGAGGCCUGAAGAUGCCAUGUUUCCUCAGGAUUUUCAAGAACCAUUUGAUAACAAUUGGCUCUUUCCGUCUGAAAGAAACUUGGAUUUUCCAUCAUUUGAUACUAUCUUCAGCUCUUUGCUGAAAUGGACCCCUGACCUGCACAUGCUGGCUGAAUUCCCUCCCAUUCUGAAUGUUCCCAGAGUCCAGGUGUUUUGUGAUGAAACCAAACUAACUCUGCUGGUUGACAAGAAAGUGUUUGGCCUCACUUUAACUGAAGAAGAGAUACAGCUGGGCAAUGGCUGCUACAGUAACGAGGAGGAACCGGAUCAACUUGUGUUCAUUUAUAACUUGGAUCAAUGUGGAACAACACCUGUGCUCCAGAAUGGUUUGCAGAUGUUCACCAACUUCCUCCACUUGAAUCUCAAGAAAACACCACCUACCUGGUGGCAAACUCUCCCAUCAAUCAAAGUCUCCUGCAUCCCAAAAAGGUUUUACCCAGAUCGUAACUUUAUCUCUGAACCACCCUUGACAGUGAAGAAAUCUUACAUCCAAGCCAUGAAACCAUCCUGGACAGAAACGGAAGAGUCUAAUGUCUACCAAAGAGGCCUUGUAGUCAGACUGCAGGUAUCUGCUGAAGCUAAACCUGGUCAGCAGCUUUUCAUCCAUUCCUGCUUUGUCUCGGCAUCUCCUGAACCCCAGGCUAGACCAAGGCAUGCAGUCAUACUAAACAAAGGGUGUGCAUCCUCACUGGGUUCUCCACAUACUGUUGCUCUGUUUGCAGCCACCAACAGAGCUGAUGUGGUUAAUUUCAUGCUGAAUACAUCUUAUCUCAUUUCUGAGCUGUACGUCCACUGUAGUAUAGUCCUGUCAGAUCUGGGAGUAAAUUUGGCAUCAAAAUCCUGCAACUACAACGUGACUAGUUCACAAUGGGAGGAACUAAGUGGCAAUGCAGAGGUCUGUGCCUGCUGUAACUCAAAGUGUAAAGGCCCAUCAAUAAAGAACCUUCCUGACGAUACCAAGGGAGUCGUCAGCAUUGGCCCCUUGAUCAUUGGGGAUGAUUGGGAGUUAACUCCUGCACUUCCACCACUUGAUGCAUCUGGCUCCUCUCUACCAACCACCAUGAGGGCUGGCACUCCUGGUCUUGGAAAAGACAGGAGCUCCAGUCUUACCCACAGGGUGUCUUAGUGGUUCGGCAGGAGCCAACUGCUAGGUUAACACUCUGGCUCCCUGGAGAGGUGCCGGGCGACAAUCUCAUUUCUCACUCUGAUUUACUGGGUCAAGAUGGUAAUUCUGGGCAGGCGGUUACAACCAUGCAUGAAAAUUCUCUGAAUCUAACUACAAAUGAAACUGAUCAAUCUGUAAGUGAGCGCAAAAGUCCCUCUUCACAGUGGGACAUGAAGCUGGUAACACUGGUUGAUGGGUGGCAGACUCCUGAACAAGAAAAUGAAAUCAUUCAUUUUCAAACAAAAAGCAGAUAUGGAAGAUCUUGGAAUUCUGACACAGAAGCAACCCAGCCUGACUUCUCUAUUCCAACUGGGAUAAAUGUCAACCUCAUGCUGGUUGAAAAGUCAAAGGUAGUGGCUCCAGAUGCCACCGAAGAGGAAAUCCAAAGAAAAUGGUCACCAGGUGAUUUAUCUGCAUCUCCUGAGAUGCAGAUGGAUGUACCUGUGGAGCCUGAUGUAGAUGUCCAACCAAUUCACACAAAACUGGAAAUUUCCAAGAGUGCAGAUGGGUCAAAAAGGCUGAGUUAUGUGGAAGAAGUGAAGCAACAAGAGAGAAGUGAUAUAAAAGACUUGAAGCCCAGACUGAAGGGGCUGCGCUCAACAUUUCUUGAUUUGUUGAGGAGGAUGGACAAGGAAUAAUGACAAAUGAGUAUCUUGCAACAGAAUAAACAUUCUCUCCAACAAUUA